AUACGGCCAAAUCACGUUGACACACCAGUUCCCGUACGAUCACCGAAGUUAUGCGAAGUUGAGCCCGGUCAGUUUCUAGAUUGGUUACCUCUUGGGAAUACCAGAUACUGUAAG